UAUCAAUAUCCGGAGGCAGAGGAACCAACAGGGACAGCGUUAGUAGCGGUGAGUGCAGSUGCAAGAGCAAAAGUUUAGAAUYGGGCUCGUUCUGUGUSCGAGUUGUAAUUUGAAGAAGGUAUCUUUGGGUCAYCCUCUUGUAUAUGUUUCUUGGAACAGAAGGUCACAGAGGGGGAGGAUCCCGUGCGAUGAGAUGCUCCAGGCCUAGAGGSCCUUWUUCAAGUCUAGAGUUUUUAAUGCAGCUCCAAAAUGUGGUAAAAAUUCCAAAGGGUAAUCCCUGGCGAAGGAGCGAUAAUGUACCAAAGUGUGAAGGUGGGGUGAAAAGCAGAACUUAAAAAGAAGAAAACAGCAGUACAAAUAAUUGAAAGAAAGGAAGAGCGCGCCCUACAAGGGGAUUUUGCGUAGGUUCCUUCUUCGGGGGUGGCCUCGACAGUUUAUCGGGCCAGCAUCAGUUUGGGCGGCAGGAGAAGUGCUUUGGGAACGGCCUCUUCUCGGUGUUAUGUCCUAGCCCAGUGGAUACUGCCAGCCUCGAGGGAUGCGCUGCGGUUUAUUCGUAGGAUGUGACAAAAUCCAGU
rnacentral:rRNA from 1 species